UACGAAGGGGGGCUAGCGUUGCUCGGAAUCACUGGGCGUAAAGCGCACGUAGGCGGACUCUUAAGUCGGUGGUGAAAUCCUGGAGCUCAACUCCAGAACUGCCUUCGAUACUGGAGAGCUUGAGUCCGGGAGAGGUGAGUGGAACUGCGAGUGUAGAGGUGAAAUUCGUAGAUAUUCGCAAGAACACCAGUGGCGAAGGCGGCUCACUGGCCCGGUACUGACGCUCAGUGCACGAAAGCGUAGGG
rnacentral:rRNA from 1 species